rnacentral:tRNA from 1 species
GGAGGAGUCGCCUAGCGGUCCAUGGCACAGGUUUGCUAAACCUGCGAGUCUUAUCACUCACGUGGGUUCGAAUCCCACCUCCUCCG